rnacentral:lncRNA from 1 species
UGGAAUAUUUGGUAUCUUUAGCCUGGUUUUAGUUCUCUGACAGCAAUUAGCAAUGCUAAACUUGAGAGCAAAAGGAGUUGUAAGAAGAAAGGAGUUGUAAGAAGUGUUCCUUAGAAAUUGUACACUAAACUGCUUGCACAUUUUCAUGCAUGUUGGCACUCACCUUGGAGCACAAUUAAAUGGAAAUCAGUAGCAAAAAUACAAUCUGCAUAGUGGUAAUCUAAUCCUAGAAUUUGGCUUCAUUUAUAUAUUUCAAAGUGGUUCCAUGAUUUUAUAUUUUGCGCAUUUUCAUGCAUGUUGGCACUCACCUUGGAGCACAAUUAAAUGGAAAUCAGUAGCAAAAAUACAAUCUGCAUAGUGGUAAUCUAAUCCUAGAAUUUGGCUUCAUUUAUAUAUUUCAAAGUGGUUCCAUGAUUUUAUAUUUUGCGUACUAUGUUCACACUGUAACUUUUAACUUGGGAUUUUAAGUGCG